rnacentral:rRNA from 1 species
CCUACGGGAGGCAGCAGUGGGGAAUUUUCCGCAAUGGGCGUAAGCCUGACGGAGCAAUACCGCGUGAGGGAUGAAGGCUCGUGGGUCGUAAACCUCUUUUCCCAAGGAAGAAGUUCUGACGGUACUUGGGGAAUAAGCAUCGGCUAAUUCCGUGCCAGCAGCCGCGGUAAUACGGGAGAUGCGAGCGUUAUCCGGAAUCACUGGGCGUAAAGCGUCUGUAGGUUGUUUGUUAAGUCUGUUGUUAAAAACUGAAGCUCAACUUCAGGGGUGCGGCAGAAACUGGCAAACUUGAGUAUGGUAGGGGUAGGAGGAAUUUCUAGUGUAGCGGUGAAAUGCGUAGAUAUUAGGAAGAACACCAUUAGCGAAGGCGUCCUACUGGGCCAAAACUGACACUCAGAGACGAAAGCUAGGGGAGCAAACGGGAUUAGAUACCCCGGUAGUCCUAGCCGUAAACGAUGGAUACUAGAUGUCGCGGGUUUACCUGCGGUGUCGUAGCUAACGCGUUAAGUAUCCCGCCUGGGAAGUACGCACGCAAGUGUGAACUUAAUGAAUUGACCGGNNGAGANGCAGCGACACGAGGAGAG